UGACACUUUCCCCUCAUCGGAUCAUUGUUUACAUCAAACGGAGAGUUACAGAGGAAGUAUCUUUUAUAAGUUUAAUGGCGUAAAAAUGGUGAUAUUUGCUGUUACGUACGUCUCUUGGAGGAGGGAACGCAACACCCUGCUACAACUCAACUCCCCGUGGAGUGAAAAAGGUAUGAACCCUUGGACAUACAGGUACCUCCAGCGCUCCCUCCUGCCUCACAUUCGGCCCCUGUCCCUGGUGAUCUACCCCAGGCCCUCUUGUAUCCACCCCAGGCUUCUGAACUUGCCCCAGUGGGGUGAAGACCAGAAGAGGGUGAUGUCCUUCCUGCCUCUCUCUCUCUCUCCCUUAAAUGCAGCUGGUGAUUCCAGAGAUCUGGCGGGCAUCUCUCAACAAGAAGCAGCAGUGGAUUGACCAGAUGCUGUUUACCAGGAGCCUCCUACAGAGCUCACAGUCCAUCACUGUCCUUUCCCUGGUGGGGUGAAGACCAGAAGAGGGUGAUGUCCUUCCUGUCUCCAAGGCCUGCCUCAGAGUGUGCUGGGGUGAGUU